GGAACAUACUGAGUAUCUAGCUGGAAAGGA
rnacentral:piRNA from 1 species